ACCGAGCUCAAGGUCACAGAGACGCUUGUUCACUUCAGCUUAGCCCACGCCACUCGUGCGCGUUUCGCCUGAUUGAUACUGUGGUACAGUACAAGUGUCCAAACCGAAAGCGAGAACGUCACGGCGGAAUUCAUUUACUGCUAUUGUUGGCCAUGGCCGCCUAUGCUGGGCUGUUGCGCGUCGCCCUCGUCCUCAUCGCCGCCGCCGCGACCUGGGCGGCGGCGCUAGACGACCCGGCGGGGCUUCUGCGACGGGCCAAGGAGGCGGAGUUCAUGGACUGGAUGGUGGGGGUGCGCCGGCGGAUCCACGAGAACCCUGAGCUCGGCUACGAGGAGUUUGACACCAGUGAGCUCGUGCGGCGCGAGCUCGAUGCCAUGGGGAUCCCCUACAGGCAUCCCUUCGCGGUCACCGGCGUCGUCGCCACCGUCGGCACAGGCGGCCCGCCCUUCGUCGCGCUUCGGGCCGACAUGGACGCGCUCCCUAUGCAGGAAAGCGUGGAAUGGGAACAUAAGAGCAAAGUGCCUGGGAAGAUGCAUGGAUGUGGCCAUGAUGCACAUGUUGCUAUGCUAUUGGGUUCUGCUAAGAUUCUUCAGGAGCACCGUGACGAGUUGAAGGGUACUGUAGCCCUUCUUUUCCAACCAGCUGAGGAAGGUGGUGGUGGAGCCAAGAAAAUGGUAGAAGCCGGAGCUGUGGAAAACAUAGAGGUCAUGUUUGGACUUCAUGUAGCUGACAGUGUGCCGAUUGGUGUGCUGGCAUCCAGACCUGGGCCUAUAAUGGCAGGGAGUGGAUUCUUUGAGGCAGUAAUAAGUGGAAAGGGAGGGCAUGCUGCACUUCCUCAUCACACUAUUGAUCCAAUACUGGCUGCAUCCAAUGUUAUUGUAAGCCUUCAGCAACUUGUUUCCCGAGAAGCUGACCCCUUGGACUCACAGGUAGUAACGGUUGGAAAGUUUCAAGGUGGUGGAGCCUUCAAUGUUAUCCCUGAUUCAGUGACAAUAGGUGGUACCUUCCGAGCCUUUAUGAAGGAGAGUUUUAAUCAAUUGAAGCAGCGAAUUGAAGAGGUCAUAGUCACACAGGCAUCUGUCCAGCGCUGCAGCGCAGUUGUGGACUUCCUUGACAAAGAUAAGCCUUUCUUCCCUCCAACAAUCAACAAUCCUGAGCUUCACGAUUUCUUUGCGAAGGUGUGCAGUGAGAUGGUUGGCCCCAACAACGUGAGAGAGAAGCAGCCACUGAUGGGUGCCGAGGACUUCUCCUUCUACACCGAGGCCGUUCCCAAGACAUACUACUACUUUGUGGGGAUGCUCAACGAGACUCGUGGACCGCAGGCGCCUCAUCACUCCCCCUACUUCACCAUCAACGAGGAUGCACUGCCCUACGGUGCAGCCAUGCAAGCAUCGUUGGCUGCUCGCUAUCUGCUUGAGCACCAGCCCGCUACCGCUGCUAAGGUGGAACCUCGCGACGAGCUGUAGAUGGUGUCCAUGUUGAAUGAAACGGUGGAAGGACAAGGACGUGCACAGCAAUUGUUGGUUAAAAAGGGACGAGGACCUCUGUAUCGCCAGGUGAUUAUGCAACUGUUUGUACAUAAUUUCCUGAUUUCAGCGCAUUCCAAGCGAGCAGAUGACCUUGUGACGGCAUUGAAGCACUGCGAACAUGUGUUUCUGUGGUAGGUCUCGUUCGUUUUCGCAUCUGCACUUAUCCGGGUCUAUGUGUAAUCUUUGAGUGCAGUGGUGAGACAAAAUAAAACACCCCGUGGAUGAUGAAUGUAUUGGGUUGUUAAGAGUUGGGACAGACAGGAAUUUUAUAGCAUGAUUCCAUCCUUUAGUAGCAAGAAAUGGUCGAAAAUAUAUUCCAGCAAAAAGAAAAAAGAAACGGUUGAAACAAGGGUUUGAGGAGCA